rnacentral:rRNA from 1 species
CCUACGGGUGGCAGCAGUGAGGAAUAUUUGUCAAUGGACGAGAGUCUGAACCAGCCAAGUAGCGUGAAGGAUGACUGCCCUAUGGGUUGUAAACUUCUUUUAUAUGGGAAUAAAAUGUUCCACGUGUGGGAUUUUGUAUGUACCAUAUGAAUAAGGAUCGGCUAACUCCGUGCCAGCAGCCGCGGUAAUACGGAGGAUCCGAGCGUUAUCCGGAUUUAUUGGGUUGAAAGGGAGCGUAGGUGGAUUGUUAAGUCAGUUGUGAAAGUUUGCGGCUCAACCGUAAAAUUGCAGUUGAAACUGGCAGUCUUGAGUACAGUAGAGGUGGGCGGAAUUCGUGGUGUAGCGGUGAAAUGCUUAGAUAUCACGAAGAACUCCGAUUGCGAAGGCAGUUCACUGGACUGCAACUGACACUGAGGCUCGAAAGUGUGGGUAUCAAACAGGAUUAGAUACCCUUGUAGGC